GACGAACGCUGGCGGCGUGCCUAAUACAUGCAAGUUGAGCGCUGAAGGUUGGUACUUGUACCGACUGGAUGAGCAGCGAACGGGUGAGUAACGCGUGGGGAAUCUGCCUUUGAGCGGGGGACAACAUUUGGAAACGAAUGCUAAUACCGCAUAAAAACUUUAAACACAAGUUUUAAGUUUGAAAGAUGCAAUUGCAUCACUCAAAGAUGAUCCCGCGUUGUAUUAGCUAGUUGGUGAGGUAAAGGCUCACCAAGGCGAUGAUACAUAGCCGUCCUGAGAGGGUGAUCGGCCAAAUUGGGACUGAGACACGGCCCAAACUCCUACGGGAGGCAGCAGUAGGGAAUCUUCGGCAAUGGACGAAAGUCUGACCGAGCAACGCCGCGUGAGGGAAGAAGGUUUUCGGAUCGUAAAACUCUGUUGGUAGAGAAGAACGUUGGUGAGAGUGGAAAGCUCAUCAAGUGACGGUAACUACCCAGAAAGGGACGGCUAACUACGUG
rnacentral:rRNA from 1 species